rnacentral:lncRNA from 1 species
CAACAACAGAACCAUGCAAUCUGAACAAUGGAACCACCAAUUCCACCACCAACAAUUCCACUCAAGUUACCUGCAGUCCUGGCAAUGUAACAUCUGCUAGCUCAUGGGGUGUGACUCCAUCUCCAAGUGAUCUGGCUUCCAUGAGUGGAGCUUUAGACACUCUGAGUCCCGAAAACCUGAGAAAUGCUGAGUUCAUACGGACAUGAGUGUGCGUUAGGCUCCUCCCACUGCUGCCAAUCAUUGAUGACAACUUCUUGUCAGAACUGAGUAUGAAGGAGUUUACCUGUGAGAGUUACCAGGAAAUUGUCAAAACUCUAAGUGAUCAAAUCACUCAAAUGAGGGAGGAGCUACAAACAUCUGUAUACACAAAUUUCAUACUGCCAUUCCUCUCCGGAAACACAGGUGACUUUUUAUUCUUUAGUCAGAGAAAGUUGCCAAUAAUCAUGAUAUUAAUUAAAAACUUUAAUUUUUGUUG